GGGGUUGCCUCGUCUUUUUGCAUUCUCGACAAUACCAAACGUCGUUUUAGAGGCGACGCUCCGCAAAUUGGUAAAACGGCGCGUUUCAGUCGCUCCGUAUCGACAAUUGCAUCCCUCUGAUCUUUCAAGGAGCCAAAAGUUUGAGAGCUCGAGGAAAUCUAUCUAAACACAGAGAGAGCUAUGAGCAUUCGACCGUUAGAUAAGCUCCCGCCAACGGAAACUCUAGAAAUCGAGAACGGUCUCUCUCUAGUACCGCGCGUCAAGCUCAUCCUCACGGUUUACCCUUCAAUCUCCUCCUCCGCCACUAAACCAAUCGACGAGUGGAAGCUAAAGCGUGCUCUCAUAGACUUCCUGAAGAUCUCCCUCUCCGUCUCCAACACAGUCCCCGAAGAGGACCUCGAAAUCAGACGGUAUAAAGACCUCAAGAAACGUAAACGCGAUGAUCCGGUCGCGCACGGCACUCUCUGCAUUCGAGACCUAGGGUUUCUCAAUAUCGAGAAAGAUGAGGAUGAGGAUUUGAAGGUUUUGGAGAAGAAGUUCCUGGAUUGGAGAAAGUACAUUGUUGAAAAAAUGGACGGAAUCGAGCUUAACCUCGAAGGAUUUAGAUACAAGCUCGGUGUUGCUGUGCCAGAGUCCGAUGACUUUGAGGGGAUGAAGAAAGCUUGGGAGGAGUUUUACGCUUUUGGAAAUCGAGGUUUGUGAAUUUUAUUUGCUUUUCAAUUCUUAUUUUUUUAUAAUUUUCAAGCGAUUCUUCUGUGUUGGUUUGGCAGGGUACUCCAGAGGGGGGAGGCAAGAGCCAGACACUAUUAUAGUGCGAGGGGUUCCGUCCCGUUGGUUUGCAGAGCCGAGGGUGUCUUCGAAGCCUUCAUUGUUAGUUACUCAUACCAUUUUCUCCACAUUUGGGAAGAUAAGGUAAUUUCCAUUGUCAAUUAUCUUCUUUUAUGAGGAUUUGCGCCAAGCUUAAUCUUGUUUCUGGCAUGUUUGAUUUGUCUUGGUGUGUAUAGUUGACGAGGCAAUUGUGUCGGUUUUAGUGAAUUACCUUUCAAACAUAGCACUGCUAGCAGUGCUGAAUUUACUUUGUGAAGUUUUGCAGCAAAUGGGGCAAUGGUUAUACUAAUCUUUAUAAUUUGCAAUAAAUAAUACAAGAGUUGGGUGUUAGUAGUCCAAUUUGGAAAAGCCCAGAUGAAUAUAGUUCUGAAUUCCCCAUAUGCAUGUGAUCAAGUUGCCUGUAGUACUUGUCCAAUUGGUGUUAAACAUCUUAUGAUAAGAACUGGCUUCGACUAUUCAAAUUUCCACAAGGUUUUCUUUUUCAGAUUGUAAAGCUACAUGUAACCAUUGCCCAUAUGCUAUUAACUAUGUUUGCUUUAUUAGCUCUAGAUCUAUAAUGUAAUGACAAAAACCUGAUUGUAUAUCAUCCAUGUUAUUACUUCUACUUGCUCAAUAGAAAUCUUAACGUCGCUGAGGAUGAUGAUCGUGGUAAGGAUGCAGACGAGGAUGGAGGGGAUAUAAUUUCAGGUCUCCUCUGCAAGAUUGUGGUUCAGUUUGAGAAACAUGGGGACUUCUAUAAUGCUCUUAAAGUCUUAUGUGGACGCUCAUUGCAGAAGCAAGGGUCUCGAUUGAAGGCUGAUUAUGAUGUAACCUGGACCAAGGAUAGCUUCUUCCAAAAGUCAAGUAGUCAAGCAAAAGAAAAGAGUGAUAGGAUGCCAGCAGUGGGAGGAGGGCACUACAGAAAUGAAGGUCCUAGACAUGAAAGAUACAUUUCUCAGUUCACUUCUGAUGAUUCACGACGGAAGAGAUUCAAGGAAUAGGGAUUGUGAAACAUGGUGACAAUUUUUCUCCAGUUUGGACUUUUCACAAGAAGCCAAUUCUUGCUGCUUCAACUACCAAAUAUGUGAUGUUCUUCUACCUUCUCGAAUUUUCUUUGUAUCAAUAGCCUUGUAGAAAAUGACGCUAAAUUGAGCUCAUUAUGGUGUAGGAGCUGUACUAUAGUUCACAAUUUCACAAUUUGACGUUAUUGGAUUUUACAGUGACAUGGCUUUCUAAUAGCAUAGCAAGUCGUAGUAUUGCCCAAUUAGUUGAAAGAUUAUGGAGUUGGAUGUAGUUAUAAUAAGUUUGACUUUAUAUAAGAAUAAGCCUAAUAGUUCUUAGAUUAAAUAUUUAUAUGGGAUUACUGCAUUCAUUAUUUCAAUUGUACGAAUGCUUUAAUUGACUCUGUGCGAAUUUAAAUAUAAAUAUUUGAUUUAAAAAUUAU
rnacentral:misc_RNA from 1 species